UACGUAGGGUGCAAGCGUUAAUCGGAAUUACUGGGCGUAAAGCGUGCGCAGGCGGUUAUGUAAGACAGGGGUGAAAUCCCCGGGCUUAACCUGGGAACUGCAUUUGUGACUGCAUAGCUAGAGUACGGUAGAGGGGGAUGGAAUUCCGCGUGUAGCAGUGAAAUGCGUAGAGAUGCGGAGGAACACCGAUGGCGAAGGCAGCCCCCUGGGCCAAUACUGACGCUCAGGCACGAAAGCGUGGGGAGCAAACAGG
rnacentral:rRNA from 1 species